rnacentral:lncRNA from 1 species
ACCUUAAUAAUAAUAAUAAUAAUUAUUAUUAUUAUUAUUAUUAUUAUUAUUAUUAUGACUAUUAUUUUAUAGGAUAAACUUUAAAUAUUAUUCAUGUACUUCCAUAUUUUCUCACUUUAAUACUUUAUGAUUUAAAGUAUAUCAAUUCAGUAUUCUAUGAUUUUAUUUUUCUCUUUUCAUCAUCUCCUCCGUUAACAUUUCGUUAAAUUAUAUACAAAAAAUUUCAGAUACGCCACCUAAAUUUAUUCAAUAUUUACUUUAGUAUCUUUUAGUUUUAACUUUUGUUACUGAUUUAACAAAAGGAAAAUUAGUAGAGAAAAUAAUAAAAAGAAAAAAAUAAAACCACGUGGUACUAAAUUGAUAUAUUUUAAACCACAUGGUACUUAAUAAAAAAGUACGAAAUCAUAGAAAUGGUAUUUGAAGUUUCCUAUUUUAUACUAGUUAUGACGCAAUGUAUGAGUAAAUGGUUAAUCCAUUAGGUGGGAGAUGCUAUGUGUACAUUUGAAGAUUCCCAAUAUUACUGUUAUAAUUAAUAAAUGGUAAAAAUAUACAAAAUUUAUUUAAAUUAUAGAUCAUUUUGAAUUGGUUAUCCAACUUUUCAAAUUAUUUUAUUUGAGUCGGUCGACAAUAUACCGACUUCAAAUUUUUAGUUAAUUACUUAUUUUAAUUGAUUUAUAGUUGCAAAAAUUAUAUAAAAUAUAUUAAGUUAAUUUAUAAACCUAAAUAACGUAAUAAAAUUUUGAAAUCAAAAUACUGUUGACCGACUCUAAUUAAAUAAAUUGAAAGGCUACAUAUAUAUUAAAAUCAAAACUUUAAAAUAUUAGAUAGUCAAUCCAAAAUAGUUCACACUUCAAAUAAGUUAUGAACGUUUUUAUUUUAAUAAGUUAAUAUUAUAUGG